rnacentral:tRNA from 1 species
GUUUGUGGCUCAGUGCUAGAGCACGUGCUUAGCAUGCAUGAGGCACUGGGUUUGAUCCCUGGCACCACA